rnacentral:rRNA from 1 species
GAUUUCUUCGGGAUGAAAGUUUUGUGACUGAGUGGCGGACGGGUGAGUAACGCGUGGGUAACCUGCCUCAUACAGGGGGAUAACAGUUAGAAAUGACUGCUAAUACCGCAUAAGACCACAGGAUUGCAUGAUCCGGUGGUAAAAACUCCGGUGGUAUGAGAUGGACCCGCGUCUGAUUAGGUAGUUGGUGGGGUAACGGCUCACCAAGCCGACGAUCAGUAGCCGACCUGAGAGGGUGACCGGCCACAUUGGGACUGAGACACGGCCCAAACUCCUACGGGAGGCAGCAGUGGGGAAUAUUGCACAAUGGGGGAAACCCUGAUGCAGCGACGCCGCGUGAGCGAUGAAGUAUUUCGGUAUGUAAAGCUCUAUCAGCAGGGAAGAAAAUGACGGUACCUGACUAAGAAGCACCGGCUAAAUACGUGCCAGCAGCCGCGGUAAUACGUAUGGUGCAAGCGUUAUCCGGAUUUACUGGGUGUAAAGGGAGCGUAGACGGAGAGGCAAGUCUGAUGUGAAAACCCGGGGCUCAACCCCGGGACUGCAUUGGAAACUGUUUUUCUAGAGUGUCGGAGAG